UGCCGGCGACCGGCGGACGGGUGCGUAACGCGUAUGUAACCUACCUUUGACAGGGGGAUAACAUCGAGAAAUUGGUACUAAUACCCCAUAACAUCACCGGAGGCAUCUUCGGUGGUUGAAAACUCAGGUGGUCAGAGAUGGACAUGCGUUGUAUUAGCUAGUUGGUGAGGUAACGGCUCACCAAGGCGACGAUACAGUAGGGGGACUGAGAGGUCCAACCCCCCACAUUGGUACUGAGACACGGACCAAACUCCUACGGGAGGCAGCAG
rnacentral:rRNA from 1 species